rnacentral:rRNA from 1 species
AGUGAACGCUGGCGGUAGGCCUAACACAUGCAAGUCGAACGGCAGCACAGUAAGAGCUUGCUCUUACGGGUGGCGAGUGGCGGACGGGUGAGGAAUACAUCGGAAUCUACUUUUUCGUGGGGGAUAACGUAGGGAAACUUACGCUAACACCGCAUACGACCUACGGGUGAAAGCAGGGGAUCUUCGGACCUUGCGCGAUUGAAUGACCCGAUGUCGGAUUAGCUAGUUGGCGGGGUAAAGGCCCACCAAGGCGACGAUCCGUAGCUGGUCUGAGAGGAUGAUCAGCCACACUGGAACUGAGACACGGUCCAGACUCCUACGGGAGGCAGCAGUGGGGAAUAUUGGACAAUGGGCGCAAGCCUGAUCCAGCCAUACCGCGUGGGUGAAGAAGGCCUUCGGGUUGUAAAGCCCUUUUGUUGGGAAAGAAAAGCAGCAGGUUAAUACCCCGCUGUUCUGACGGUACCCAAAGAAUAAGCACCGGCUAACUUCGUG